GUGGUUUGUCUUCGGAGGUGGAACCCAAUUAACAGUCACUGGUCAACUCACCGUACCACCUACAGUGAAUGCCUACACUUCACCUGAGGAAGAGAUCAAAACCCUGAAUAAGGCCACCGUGGUGUGCCUCCUCAGUGACUUUUACCCACCUGCCUUCACCCUGAAAUGGAAGGAUGGUAAUGACGAGAUCACGUCCGGCGUAGAGACCACCAAAGCUACCAAGCAGGGUGACAAAUACCUGGCCAGCAGUUACCUGACCUUGAGCGCCUCUGAUUAUCAAAACUACAACACGUUCACCUGUGAAGUGACCCAUGGAGGGCAGGUCGUUAAGAAGACUGUGCGGAAAAAUGGAAGUUGUUAAUUCCAUCAUGAAUUCCUCUGACCUUCCUCCAGUAUUAUCUCUUUUCCCCUUUCCUAAUUCUAGUUUGGUCAAUAACCUCUAUUUCCGUAUCAUCUAGUUAGAGUCUGUAACCUCCCGUGCCUUAAACCCCUUGAAAUCUAUCUCCCUCCCUUCGUCCUCUUAGUUUCAACCUUUAGCAGUUUAAUAAAGAUGGGUAUAUUUCA